AAUGUAUAGCAAUAGCUACUUGCAUCAUUGUAAAUAUCAUGCAAGAUCGACUAUGUCGAAUAAAAUUCUAGGUAGAAUUAUGAUAAUGACAUUGUCUGCCUAUGUGUCUUGACCAAAUUACGUGCCAGCAGUCGCGGUAAUACGUAGAAGACUAGUGUUAUUCAUGUUUAAUCGGUUUAAAGGGUACCUAGACGGUAAAUCAAGCCUAAAAUGAAAUGAAUGAAGGGACUAAUUUACUAGAGUUACUUAUGAGGGGGUAUUAAAGUACUGCUGGUGUAGAGAUGAAAUUCUGUCAUACCUCUUUUCAAUAGAAAAAUAAUGGCACAGGUAUAGGCGAAAGCAUCCCCUUAUGUGAUAACUGACGUUGAGGGACGAAGGCUUUGUGUAGCGAACAGGAUUAGAUACCCCAGUAGUCAAAGCAGAAAAUGAUGAAUGUCAUAGAUUAGAUAUAUAAGUUUAUUCUAUAAAUGAAAGUGUAAGCAUUCCACCUCAAGAGUAAUUUGGCAACAUUGGAACUGAAAUCAUUAGACCGUUUCUGAAACCAGUAGUGAAGUAUGUUGUUUAAUUUGAUGAUCCGCAAAAAACCUUACCACAAUUUGAAUAUUUAUAUCUUUUAUUGUUUUUCUUUUUAACUUUAUUCUAAUUUUCUACUUAAAAGAAAACAAUAACAAGAAAAAAGAGGCAAUAAGAUAUAUUUACAAGCGUUGCACGGCUGUCUUCAGUUAAUGUCGCGAGACUAUGGUUAGUUCCAUUAAAUUAACGUAAACCCUUACUUUAUUUUUAUAUAGAGUAGUUCCCCGCUAUAUUGGAUAUGAUAACAGG
rnacentral:rRNA from 1 species